rnacentral:rRNA from 1 species
AGGUCUUGCCUGCCCCGUGAUUUAUUUUAACGGCCGCGGUAUCUUAACCGUGCAAAGGUAGCAUAAUCAAUUGUCUCUUAAAUUGGGACUAGUAUGAACGGCACCACGAGGGUUUAACUGUCUCCCCCUUUUAAUCAAUGAAAUUAAUCUUCCCGUGAAGAACCGGGAAUACAGCUAUAAGACGAGAAGACCCCGUGGAGCUUUAAACUUAUUAUCACUUAUUUACUAAUAUAACAUGCUACAAGAUAAAAAUGUCUCAAAUAGUUUUUGGUUGGGGCGACCCUGGAGAAAAGUAAAUCCUCCAAAUCGAAAGGGUUAACUACCCUUAUAUAAGAGCCACAAUUCAAAUAACCAAAAAUUUGACAAAACUGACCCAGAAUUAACUGAUCAGUGAACCAAGUUACCCCGGGGAUAACAGCGCAAUCCAUUUCAAGAGCCCAUAUCGACAAAUGGGUUUACGACCUCGAUGUUGGAUCAGGGGAUCCUAGCAGCGCAGCAGUUGCUAAUGGUUCGUUUGUUCAACGAUUAAUGACCCUACGUGAUCUGAGU